rnacentral:lncRNA from 1 species
UUUUUUUUUUUUUUUUUUUUUUUUACCUUGCUGGUAAGAAUCCUGGGUCUGUUUUUAGUUUUAUCCUUUUAGAGAGCAUCAGCUCUGGGAGGUAGGAGGAGGGAAGGCAGUGACAGGAAGGUUAAUGUCAUCUGCCUGGCAGAGGGUAAAAACUAGAGUGAUGCUCACAGUUUCAUAUGGUAGUUUUCCAGGACUGAUUUCAUUUUUUAUUUCGUUUUGUUUUGUUUUGAGACAGUUUCUCUGUGUAGCCCUGGCUGUCCUGGAACUCACUCUGUAGACUAGGCUGGCCUCGAACUCACAGGGAUCUGUCUACCUCUGCCUCCCAAGUGUUGGGAUUAAAGGUGUGCGCCACCACUGCUCUGUUCUGUUCUAUGAUUCAUAGCAGUUUGCUGGCAGUAUAGAGCAAUGGCAAGAACCAUGCAGUGCGGUGGUCAGAGCACGAGAUCCCUCCUGCCGGAACUCACUCAAGCUCACUUCAUGCCAGGGAUUGUGAAAAUAACAUUUCUUGUGUUCUUGCAAGUCUUUGCAGGGGGUUCCUGGCAGCUCAUACUUGCCCCCAGGGAAUGCAAUGAACUGUGCCUGUAACCCAUCCUGUUGGGGACAUGCAGCCAAAUGGGACAUCACUCUUCCCCAUCCCCAUUGACCAACAGGAAAAUGCUAAGAUCUUGUCAACUUAGGCAGAAAGGACCGGGGGACAGUCACUCUAUUAUCCCAAAGGGAAGGUACCAUGUCCAGGAGGACAUAAUGCAGAAAGCACACUGGAUACAAGGUGAGCACACUGGAUACAACAUGAGCACACUGGAUACAAGUGAGCACACUGGAUACAAUGUGAGCACACUGGAUACAAGGUGAGCUCACUGGAUACAAUGUGAGCACACUGGAUACAAUGUGAGCACACUGGAUACAAGGUGAGCUCACUGGAUACAAUGUGAGCACACUGGAUACAAGGUGAGCACACUGGAUACAAGUGAGCACACUGGAUACAAUGUGAGCACACUGGAUACAAGGUGAGCACACUGGAUACAAGGUGAGCACACUGGAUACAAUGUGAACACACUGGAUACAACAUGAGCACACUGGAUACAAGGUGAGCACACUGGAUACAAUGUGAGCACACUAGAGGGUGGCUUAAGGAGAAGAUUCUUAGGACCAGGACAAAGAGAAGCUACAGGGCAGCUGAUGAACAAUGUCACAGUGGUUUAAUUUGUUGGAACCUGAGAAACCUGUUCUUCAGAGUUCCUGAGCUGUGGGCCUGGCUCUAUCACUGGUCCCAUCAAUGCAGCCACCAGUUAAGUUACUUGUUGGUAAAUAUCACUCAGUUCCAAAGGCACAGAGCAUCUCCACAUUCUUUAUUGUAAAGCCCCGGAUCCCCAGGAGAAAUUGACAUCAACAUUCUUCCAUGGUUAGCACAUUUUAAUAUAUUUUAUUAAGUUAUAAAACUUUGAAAACUGGUCACCCAAAACACCCCAGCAGUUGGUCCAGGUGCUGUGACAAACAACAUUUUCUCUGGGACAGUUAUCAACAAUAAGUAAACCCUUGGGGAAAGAAUUAAAAACCACGACAGGGGGUGUUUACACUUUUUUUGGAGAGGGUUUGUAUUAUUUUAUUUGCUAUGCAAAUUGUCAUUAAUUUUAUUUCAGCUUAGAGCUGGAGAAAUGUCCACUCAAGGUUAGUGUUAUACCCUGGCUGAGGUGGGAGGUAACCUGCAUAGUCACCCAGUGCCCCACACUCAGGCGGCUCACACUGGAUCCAUGUUCUGAUGAACAAGGGGCCUCAUGUGCUAUUUAGCACUGAGCUCUAAAAGGUAUGUAGUCAGUUCUGCUCACUAGAUAACAGAUAAUGCUCAGAAGCCAGGUAUGGUGGGGCAUAUUUUUAUUCCCAGUCUUCAGGAAAGAAAGGCAGAUCUCUGUAAAUUCAAAGAAAGCCUGACCUGCUUAGGGCUAUAUGAUGAAAUACUUUCUCAAACAGUAAGACAAACAUAAGAAAGAAACUAAGGAAGGAAGGAAACAGGAGGGGAGGGGAGGAGAGGAGAAGAGGAGAGACCAGAAGAGAAUAGAAAAGAAGAAAAGAAAAAGAAUGAAAAGAACAUUAGAACCAGGCUGGUGACACAUGCAUAUAAUCCCAGCACUCAAGAGACUGGGGCCAGAAGAUCACAAGUUCUGGGCCAGCCAAGGCUACAUAGCAAAACUGUGUCUCAACAAGUAAAAUAAAACAUGGUUUUAAAAAGAAAAUAAGAAAAGAGGGUGUCUUAGUCAGGGUUUCUAUUCCUGCACAAGCAUCAUGACCAAGAAGCAAGUUGGGGACAAAAGGGUUUAUUCGGCUUACACUUCCACAUUGCUCUUCAUCACAAUAAAUUCCUUUACUAUAUAGAGACUAUCUAUAAGUUCUGUGACUCUAGAGAACCCUGACUAAUACAGAGGGUCUGGAAAGAUGGCUCAGUGGUUAGCAGCAUAUAUCAUUCUUGCCUGUUUCCUCGCAAGCUCCCAACCACCUUAACUCCAGCUUCAGAGGAUCUGGCACCCUCUUCUGGGCUCCUCGGGUACCUCACUCAUGUGUACAUACAACAGACACACACACAACCAAAACAAUAAAAUAAAUAUG